GACGAACGCUGGCUGCGUGCUUAACACAUGCAAGUCGAACGCUGAAACCCUGGUGCUUGCACCGGGGUGGAUGAGUGGCGAACGGGUGAGUAACACGUGAGUAACCUGCCCCCGACUUCGGGAUAAGCCCGGGAAACUGGGUCUAAUACCGGAUAUGAGCGCCCCUCGCAUGAGGGAUGCUGGAAAGUCUUUUCGGUUGGGGAUGGGCUCGCGGCCUAUCAGUUUGUUGGUGAGGUAAUGGCUCACCAAGACGACGACGGGUAGCCGGCCUGAGAGGGCGACCGGCCACACUGGGACUGAGACACGGCCCAGACUCCUACGGGAGGCAGCAGUGGGGAAUAUUGCACAAUGGUGGAAACCCUGAUGCAGUGAGGCAGCGUGCGGGAUGACGGCCUUCGGGUUGUAAACCGCUUUCAGCAGGGAAGAAGCCCCUUGGGGUGACGGUACCUGCAGAAGAAGUACCGGCUAACUACGUGCCAGCAGCCGCCGUAA
rnacentral:rRNA from 1 species